UUAGCUUAUAUUAUGAAUAAUCUUUCGUACUAUAUUUAUGGAAUCCACUAGAAUGCAUGUAAUUAAUGAAUGCAGUUGGCGUUCACAAUAACUCUCUUCGUCACAAACAUUCCCAUCACAAACCCAACCCCACCGUUAUCUCUUCCUCUUCAUCUACUCCGAUAACAACAAAUUUCUAAGGGUGAGCGAUGUGAGAUAUUGCCAUGGAAUUAUCUAAGGGAAAAAAAGAAAUGAAGUGAAGAGAAAUAACUACCAGAACCGGCGUUGCCAGCCAUAACAGCCUGCAUGUACUUCUCCGGCAACUCACCGGCGGAGCCAAUCACUCCACCCUGCACCACCGCAUCCGCCGCCCCGCAUAGAAUCACCGAUCCGACGGUCACAUAAAACCCUUUGUAUAAUCCAACCCUACCUUGAAUGUAAACCACAUCCAUAACAGGGACCAAAAGCAGAGUCACCACAAAAAGGCUCAAACCCAAGUUGAUUCUGAAGCUUGAGUUUGAGUUUGAGUUUUGGGUAUAAAAGACGAUGAAGAUGAGGCAAAUGAAGGAAACCCCCAUGUAAACAAUGGCGAAGAUUCGAUCGAUGUUUGUUUCUGGGUAGAGAUAGGAGAAGUAAUCGAUUGCUGUGACGAACGCGUUCCAUGGAAGGAGAGGAAGAGCGGAUGGAAAUGGGGUUUUGGUGAAAUGGCCAGAAAGAGGAGAUCAAGGUUUGUCCACCAUUAAGAUUGAGGUAGACAAGUGCAUUUCAAAGGUGGUGGUUGAAGCGAGUGAUGAACACUCGGACAAUGGCCACAAGUAACGGAGAAAGGAAGGGAGGAAGGUAGCUUGCAUGGGGGAGAAACGAGUGCAAGGAAGGGAGUUAACAGAGAAAGUAACGAUCGCGAUCUAGGUCAUAUGUAUAUAUAAAAAACUCUAUUGUAGAGGGAUGCUACUUGCCUUCUUACGAUAUACUCCCAAUUAAUUAUUUCAACAAGCAAAAGCUUGUAUUAUAUAUCGAAUAGUCAAAGGUAGGAGAGAGGCAUUUCAAACGAGCUUUAAUUUGAGAAGUCAAGAACGGAUGUAUUUUAUUUAUUUCUGAAAACAGGACUCUCAUCAUAUUUAUUGGUGACAAUGUGAACAACAAAAA